UGUUAGCAUAGUUUAACAAAAACAUUAGGAUGUGGCCCUAAAAACAGAAGUUCAACUCUCCUUGCAAACCGAGAGGUGUUUCGAACACUAA
rnacentral:tRNA from 1 species